AUCGCUGUCUAUCUAUCUAUCUAUCUAUCUAUCUAUCUAUCUAUCUAUCUAUCUAUCUAUCUAUCUAUCUAUCUAUCUAUCUAUCUAUUUAUUUACAUUUUUGUUACUUUCACAUUUUGUGCUCCGGAAACUGAGAACUUUCUUUUAGCUCGUGCUUCCGGUUGAUGAAGUGGAACUAUAAAUGCUGAGAGGCUCGUGCAAGCUGUUCUGCUAGCAGGUCAUUGAUAUCGGUUUGUUUCCAGAGUUCAUGCUCAUCUUCCCGUGUCAUGGAUCAGACACCUGACCCUUGCUUGGCAGCCAUGUCCAGUUGAAGCUUAUUUGUUACCGAGGACAUGAACGACUCUAACAUUCGGACCCCGUGAUGCCGAAGAGACGCAACGUCAGCGGAUGGGCUCAUGAUAUCGCUUCACUACCGAUGAUGGCGAUUACUAUGAGGAAGGCCAUGUGAGGGCGCUGCUGAGGGCGAGCGAGGAGCACGUGGCCACACACACACAUCCUGAAAUCAGGGGAAUAGUGAAGCUGUUUGGUUUAUAUUUACACACAAGGAAAAGUGCCUUUACACCCUUUACACCUGUAAUGUCAGAGUCAGAGAUGUUAGAGCAGUUUACUAAGUGUGUGUGUGUGUGUGUGUGUGUGUGUGUGUGAUGUGGGCUUCUAAGGUUUUAUAAGGUCUAUAAUCCUAUUACUGUAUACAAACACAGGAUAAGGCAAUAAUUUUAUUUAUUUCAGUCCCGUAAAUCUGAAGAAAAAAAAAAUCUGGUUCCUGCCAACUCAGAUAUAAACGUACACUGUGAGUGAUUUUUAAAUGCACUGCUUUAUAUGACUGAAGACGCAAAAAGCAUUUUUGUGACGAUUGGAGCCGAGAAUCAGCGCUCAGAACAGAAUGUUGUGGUGUGAUUCUGUUCAUAUCAAACCAUUAUGUUUUAUCUCUGUGUUGUUUUUGUCUUCUUAUGAAAUGUGUAUUAUGAAAUAUUCAAAGCACGCACACACACACACACACACUCUCUUAAGGGCAUGUUAAAUCACCUCGACAUAGACACAGGCAACAGGAAGAUAUGCUCAGUCACAGAGUACCAGUGUGAAACCUCCAACCACCAGCAACAUAGCCAGCAUUUUUUAUGCUCAAAUACACACAACCAAACACACGCUUCUCCUGAUCAGUUUAGUAAAGCCUUGGGUCACAGCACAGCAGAAGGAUUCAGUGUUGAGGAUUAAACCUGAGGAACCAAGACCUCUGUUAGUAAGUGCUUGUAGAGUAGUGGGAAAGUGUUUGCCUCUCAAGCCUGAAAGUGCUGGUUCAAGGCUCUUCUUGGUUGUGUUUCUCCUUUUUCUGCAAAAAAUGAUAAGUAUACUAAACAAGUAGCUGGCUUUCAGGCUCAGACGGUGGUUCAGUUAGAUAAGUAAGAGUCUAGUUGCUGUUAGAGGGUGUGGACGUGCUGGGUUCGGUUCCCUGCUAGAACUAUAUUGUGAGCCUUUAAUGAUAUGUUAAAAUUUUAGACCAAGAUUUAAUUUAAUUAGACCAAGACUUAAUUACAGCAAGUAGAAAUGUGUGUUUACAUAAAUUAAUUAC